rnacentral:rRNA from 1 species
AUACGGGGGGUGCAAGCGUUAAUCGGAAUUACUGGGCGUAAAGCGCGCGUAGGCGGCUUGUUAAGUCGGAUGUGAAAUCCCCGGGCUCAACCUGGGAAUUGCAUUCGAUACUGGCUAGCUAGAGUAUGGUAGAGGGAAGUGGAAUUUCAGGUGUGGCGGUGAAAUGCGUAGAUAUCUGAAGGAACAUCAGUGGCGAAGGCGACUCCCUGGACCAAUACUGACGCUGAGGUGCGAAAGCGUAGGGAGCAAACAGGAUUAGAUACCCUAGUAGUCC